CUCCCUCCCUUCCCCUCUCUCUCUCUCUUUCUCUCUGUCCGUCUCGGGCUUUCUUGCUUUCGGCUUCGGUGCUCCGUGUCGAAACCAUGACGACAUUUUUGACCCUUGACCAUGUUCAAAGUUUCGAUCUUUGCUUUGAAUAUUUGCAAUUUUGUAUGCGGAGACUUGGUUUGGGGUAGGUGGAAAUUCGUUGGUCUCGCGAGUGGUUGGUGCGGAAUUCGUGAUUCGGGUAUUAGGUGAUGGGGGCUAGGGUUUCUGGAGCCCCCGCCGUGUUGUUCCGAAGAAGGCGUUUUGCCCGAGGAAAUGCACGCCUCUGCAAAUUGGCGCGGGAGUUGUUUGAGUCGUGCGCGUGUCUCUGGAUUUUGUUGCUGCUGUGUUGUGGAAGAGGUUGGAAUUAAUUCUAGUGAGCUGUGACUUUCUAAAUUUGUUACGAGACGCUAGGGUUUCUGGGAUGGAACUGUGCUCUGUUGGCACUUAUUUUUAUUUCCUUCCUUUAGCUUUUGAGGCCUUAGUCUUGUUAUUGUUUCCCGUCAACGUUUCUUUAGGGUAAGUGUUUCCUCAAACGUUUUGGUCCAUGAUUUUAUCGAGACGGUGGGUUUUUUGCAUUGCGAAAACAGGAAAAUUUGCAUCUAAUGAUGGUCCUCUGUUUCUUCCUUUCCUGUUCCCCCUUCUUUGGUUUUCUGGUAGAGGAUUCAACUUGUGUUGUCUUUGGUUGGGAACUAAAUGUUCUGUUCAAGUCUUGAACAUCAGCUGUUUAUUUUGUCAAUCUGAUGCACAUGGGAAGCUACCUGAUAUUCUUUCUUUGGUCACUGGAAAGCUACUGUGUUGGCGGAAAGUGGCAGUGGUGUCAUUUUUGUAUUAGUAAUGCCCAAAACGUACACAACAAAGGAAUUGUGUCUACAUUUUUGCCAUUGUUUGAAACCCUAGGGUUUGCAUUGAGACAUCGUGUGGAGUCAAAGGUUUUUCAAAUGACUACAGAAAGAAUGGAUUUUCUAACCAAUCCUAAAUUUUAGCCUUUGUUCCAUGACCUGUGAUUUGCAUUCAGAUCUAAUGUCCGUUUAUUUAUAAUAAAAAAAAUGCUGUAAAUUGAGUUGUGCAAUGAAGCCUGAUUGUGUAAUGGUUAUUUUCAUGAAGUCCUACCAUGUUGUGAAAUCUGAACUGUUGGUUUUCAUAAUUACAAGCCUAAAGGUGUAUUGAUUUGGAAGCUUUGGAUGGAAGUGACUCAUGAUUUUCUCAUCAUUUUUACAAGGGUGUUACUUGUAAUUAUCUUCUAUUACAUCAAGUGGGAUUAUCAUGCCGACUCUAUUCUUAUAAAAUUCUUGAGCUAGAUGAAUUGGGUUGAUAUCUCUUUCCUUUCUUUUGAUUUUGAGUUGGGGGAGAAGAGUGAAAGCGAAAGGGGGAUUUUUUUUGUUUAGUGGGUGUUGUGGGGGAGGCGGUAAUGUUGAGGAUAUUACAUUUUCUUUGAGUGACUUCUUAGAAAACAUGUCUUCACCUCUUUUAGGUGCAAAACUAACUCAAAUAUUGGGCCUUUUAAUAUAGUUGUAUUAGCUUUCCCAUCAUGCGCAAAAACUACUUGGUUUACGUGAAAUUAUUUUGACUGAGGCAUUUGGAGUCCACAUGUGUGUGGGUUCUGUACUUCCCUCUGAUGGAGAUUUUGUCAGUUCUCUAUAAUAACAUCUUUAUCUAUUCCUUUUGAUUUCGUGUCCUAUAGUACUAAGGUGAGCGGUUUGUCCUGGUGUAUUAUUUGAAGAGCCUUGAUCAUCUUUGAUUUUCAAUGUUUGAAGUUGGAAGUGUAACAGGAAUAGAAUUGAUUUCUACCUACUAGGAUGAGCUUUUCUUAGUUCAUAGAAGUAUCAAGGAAAUGGACAGAUUUUUGGAGUGUAUGACUGGCCUUAUUGGAAAACUCAGGGGCAGUUUGGUUUUCAAGCAAUGUUUUCAGAAUUCGUUUCCACAGAUAAUGGACUGAAAAAAAAAUUUCUUUUUCAUUUCACUUUUCUUGAACGCAUGUUGAGUUUGUGAAAAAGAUAAUUUUCUCAACAAGGAUGAAAAUUAUUGAUACAUGUUUGUGCUUAGUUCUUCUCAAAUCAAAAGAUUUAUGAAAAAGAUAAAAGCAUUUCUGGGAGAAUUUUUUUUUUCCUUUCUUAUUUGGUUGAGACAAUUUGCACAAAUAUAUACAAAAUAGAUGCACUAAUAGCUUGACAUCUACUUGGAAGUAUAUCAUUGCAAAGUUCAUCAAAAAGAAAAAUUACCUCUGUGUGUAUUUUUACAUUAAUACAAUCUUGAAGAUACGUAUAAAUGGCUUGCCAAUGGUCCGCUUGCUGUGGCUUCUUAUGGGUGCUUGAAACUGUUACGUUAUCAUGAUGUCAUAUGGCCUCACCAGAAAAGAAAUUCAUGGUACCCUUGGUCUUCAAAGCUUUAGCUGCUCUAUUUGGAGUUGGGAAAGGUGUGGUACCUGAUUUGUGGCUGUUUGCUCUGUCAAACAUUGCCUAUUUCUUGAUUUGUUUGGAGAGGUGAUUCUCUGAAAUUCUGGACGUUGAGAUAUUCGAGAAAGCAGAAUAUAAACUGAGGUGAAGAAGGGAUAUCUCUUGGUUAUUCCUUGGAGCUAUUGGCCAAUAUAGGACAGAGCAUAAAGAUCGAAUAUCUUUUCUCUGAAGCUUUUGUGGUAUAAAUAGAUCAGAGAGUAAUGAAGGAAUAGAUACUUGAAUGGAGGUACCAUUUUGGUUUAGUGAACUCUAGGCAAUCAUUUUAUGAACAUUGGAAACAAGAAAGCUGUCCGACAAUUUUGAAUCUCAAAAUGAAUAGCUUGAAUGCAAUGCUGCGUGGGUCUUCUAUUGAUCAAGGAAGCUGUUCUUCCUUAACCAUAUCGAGGCUAAAAGUUCAGCAAUAAAUUUUAGGCGGAUAUUCAUAUGAGUUUGUCCCCCGAUCCUUUAAUCGACAAAGUUGGUUUUGGGUGAUUAACGGUUGGAGUCUGUUGGUUUGAUAGAUGUAAUGGAGAAAGACAAUAUCUAGAAAGGUUUGAGAUGUAAUAUAUUUUUAAAUAUGAUUUGCGAGAAAUAUAGCUGCUGGUGGUGCCUUUUUUGCAGCUAGUCCUUUAUUCACAAAAGGGGAAGUCUCAAUAGCAUGUCACUAUAUGACCAGCUUUAGACUCCAUCUCGGUUCAAUAUGGGAAAUAGGAACCUGAACAAGUGAAGAGACUAGCUUUGACUCAUUUUUAAGGAUGAAGGAAGUUGGUCGGUGCAUUAGUGAAAAUGGUCUCUUGUACUCGGCAUAUUUCAGAUAACAAGGUGGAGGCUUCAUAAUCGUCAAGCUCUUUGAAACUAGUUACACGUGGACUGGCAUAUUAGUGAGGGUGAACCUUGGAGUUUGAUUUCGAAUGGGGGCAAAUAGAAAACCUUUGGAAUUGAUUUCUAGUCUUGACUAGUAAAUUUGUAUAUACUAUGUAACAGGUUUUCUACUAUUAGCUGUUUGUGGUCUAGGAGAAAAAUCUGAACAGUGUAACAGAGAUUUGAGCACUGUUUAGUUUUUAGGAACUCGGAACUGUCUGUGCCUGUGAAAGUUUAAGGAUGAGACAUAGGCAAUAGGGACUUUUAGUUCACUUCAGUUGGUUUAAAGUGCAAAGUUGGCAGCUGGUGGAAAGUAUUGAGUGAAGGAGUAACAUGAUCUGCUGAAGUGCUCCAAAGCGUGAUAACAUGCAAGCACUUGAGAACAUACAUUGAUUAGACUGUGUUUUGUGCACUGCAAAAUCACAGUAGAUGCUGGCAGUUGCCUUACAGAUGACAUCCCUUUCUGCAUGUGGAAUAAGAACAAUCGAAUUGUUCGAGUUAUGACAUCCUAGUCCAUUGUGGAAUUAUCUAGACUAAGGUUUCAAUUUUUUAGUUGCUGGAGUAUUAUCUACUGUGGUCUAUUCAAAAGUGUUUAUGGUUAAUCUGGAUGCAGUUUGGCUUUUAUGGGUUCAAGUUCACCAGUGCAGUGAUGUAAUACCUUAUAGAGGAGAGCUGGAUUUGUUUGACAUGCCUUUGAAGUUAUUGAAUUAGUUUUAAGUAAAUGAUCAAGAACAUAAGGAUGAUGGUAAUCAUCUUGUCAACUUAUGUGAAGUUUAAUAGUAUGUGUGUUAGACCAAGGAAAUGAGAACUACCCUCUUAUUUUCUUUUCAUGAGUUGGGUUUGAGAGAAAAUGUGAUAAAGAGCUGACCUUGAUCAAGUUCUAGAAGGGUGGAGUACAGAUUUAAGUGUUUGCCGUGGACAUAGCACCUUUCUGAUUCUAACUUUGGCUGCUUAGUAAUGAACAUUAAGAAGAAAUGAUGCAAAGCACGAGGAAGUUUAUGGACAAGUUGGAAGAAAUGUAUGUGUUUUUGCAUCUUCGGCAAGACAGACAUUUGAAAGACAGAAGUCUACUCUUUUGCUUCACUUUUCUCCACUUAAUAUAGUUUCACUGUUUCUUGGAAUUAGAUCGUGUUGCCUCCCAUACUCUAUUUGCAUCGGAAGAGGCGCAUCUAUGAGGGAAGAUCUCUUCCCUCAUAGAGAGGAUUUUGUGCAAGUUGGACUCCUUCAAAAGUUCUGUUAGUGUACUGGGUUGAACUUGAUGUUAACAGAUAUGAUCAGAUUUUGUCAUAUUGACAUUCCUGUUAACCACCACCCAAUAUUUCUGAUACGGGAGCAUCAAGUUCUAUUAAAAGACCAUUUGAUGUUUAUGCAAGCAAAGGGAGAUUUCAGCCAUAUCAUGAUCCAAUGGGUUCCAAUGAGGAGAAAGCGUUCAAGACAGAGUUUCUAUAUGUGAAGAAUAAAGGCUCAUCAACUGAAUUAAUUGCUGAAGGGUUGUUCCCAAAAUUAAGUAUGUUUACUAAUAUGAGUAGGUCUCCAGUUGAAGUUGGUUUUUUUAAUUUGAUGUUUCCUAGUUUAGUAUUUCCUAGUUUAAUGUUUCCUAAUUUUACAUUUCCAAACCGAAUGUUUCCUAGUUUAGUGUCCCCUCUAUAGAUAAGAGGUGCACUCUCAGUUGUAUGCAUGCAGUUUCUUGAGUUGAUAAUAUAUGAGAAAUUCUCUCAAGUGAGUGAUUCCUUCAGUUCUUUAUCCAAUUCAUUGGUGGUGAACCUUAAAGUUCCUUUUUCUUAUGCUGGUGGAACUCUUUUAUCCCAAAGUUCUUUUUCGCAAGCACAUCAAACACUUCUGGACAGUGUAAUUCGUUCAACAACUUCACCCAAACUCACCUUGCAUCAAUUUCUUGAUUGAUAAUGGCUUAGUAAUGGAAUCAUUUGAUUGAGAAAACUCAAAAUUUAAAUGUUUGGAUAAAAACCUCGAAUACAUUAGAUCUACUAACCAGCCAUUGUCUCUUCUUCUUC